AUUAUCCAACAUCGAGAUUUUAGGUUAGCAUUUAUCUCAAUUAUUUGUUUGGCUGAUUUUUUUCCAUGUAUAUUCGAGAUUUGUUUGAAUCUUAUUUAAAUUUUGAUUUAUAAUUAUACUUAUAUAUUAAAAGGCAUCGCGUUUACGAACAGUGCUUUUUAUGCAAUUUAGAUUUCAACCACACUAUUUUGUUGGUAUUAAAGAUUUGGUCCCUGUUUUCCCUACAUACGUGUCGUUCCUGCAACCCUUACAACGUCUUGAUUCCACAAGAGUGCCGACAACUCAGAGAAUCCGUCGACACAUUCCGGGCGCAUUUCUUCUGCCACCACUACAUUACAACGUUCGAACAUCCUUUGGUCCACCACCGUCUCCACCGCCAUCUUCAUCUUCUGUUCCACUCUUUUCUCCCCUCAUUACAGAACCGACAAUAUGUGUGAUUGUGGUGCGAUUUUCAUGGAUUUUUGGCCAUAGUGUUUUGUUUUUGUGAAAAAACCUUUCUCUUGACUCCAACUCUUCCGAUUCAUAUAAGAAAUACUUCUUCAAUCAUGCUCCCAGUCGGCAAAAAACGCACAAGAAUUGGUAUAUGUUGACGCAUAAGACGAUAAAGGGGAUGUGAAAUUGCACAUCAAUUGACCCGGUGGUUAUGUAAUUUCGGGUUAACUCGAAAGCAAAAAACACAUUACAUUGUCACUUCAAUAUAGAAAUAUGAACAUGCAAUAUCUAGCAAUUGCAUUUGACAUCGGUUCGUCUGGUCGUUUUGUUACUUCUUGUAUGCCAAUGGUUUUCUUUGGUUAAGAAAGUUUCUUAAUUUUUGUAGCUAUUUUCUAGAUUGAUGUUUGUAAAAGUCUUUCAUCACUUCCAAACAUAACCACAAAGCAAAAAACAA